rnacentral:snRNA from 1 species
UUGGGUAAUGAGUACUAGGGUUUGAGAAAAGGGAAUGAUAUAGAAAAGAUUAGCAUGGCCCUUGUGCAAGGAUGACAAUCACAAAUCGAAAAAGGAGAACUAGAGAC